GCUGACCUCUUUCUUCGUGCUUAACACAUGCAAGUCGAACGGAAAGGCCGAAGCUUGCUUCGGUACUCGAGUGGCGAACGGGUGAGUAACACGUGGGUGAUCUGCCCUGUACUUCGGGAUAAGCUUGGGAAACUGGGUCUAAUACCGGAUAUGACGAUCUCUUGGAUGGGGUUGUGGAAAGCUUUUGCGGUAUGGGAUGAGCUCGCGGCCUAUCAGCUUGUUGGUGGGGUAAUGGCCUACCAAGGCGUCGACGGGUAGCCGGCCUGAGAGGGUGUACGGCCACAUUGGGACUGAGAUACGGCCCAGACUCCUACGGGAGGCAGCAGUGGGGAAUAUUGCACAAUGGGCGCAAGCCUGAUGCAGCGACGCCGCGUGGGGGAUGACGGCCUUCGGGUUGUAAACUCCUUUCGCAAUCGACGAAGCCUUUUGGUGACGGUAGGUUGAGAAGAAGCACCGGCUAACUACGUG
rnacentral:rRNA from 1 species